ensembl:lncRNA
GCGAGUGCGGCGCCGCCACCGCCGGCAACUUUGUGAGCGAGUUCAGUGCGUGCGUGAGCGAGUGAGCGAAAAAGUCAGUGCGGCGCCGAGUCCGGGAGGAGGGUCCCCGGGGAGGGCCAGGUCUGGGCUUCAGAGGCCGCCCCCGAGCCACUUCAUCCUCUCCCGCCUCCCUGGCUCCCUCCCCAUUUCCUCCCCCCACGGGUCCUCCCGGGCCUUCCGCCCCCUUCUGCAGUUACCUGUCCCCUCCCCCACUCGGCACGCACCUCCCCUUUCCCCCGCGCCCACCUCCGACCUCCGGACCCUGGACUCGCAGCCGCGUCGCGCUCGCUCCCCGCGCCGGCCGCCCCCUCCGCUCUUUCUCCUGGGGGCAGGCGGGCGGAAUGGGGGGCGCUGAGCCUCGGAGGCGGCGCGAGCGGAGACCCGGGCGCCCAGACAAUAGUUGAUGCCGGGGGGACGGGGGCACCUCCGCCCCCCCACUUUGCCAGGAUCGCGGCCCCCGCCGGCAGCUCUCCAGCCUGCAUUCCGGGUCCCCCUCGGAGCCAGGCUCCGGAGUUGGGCACAUUCCGCCCCCGCCUCCCCGGACCCCCCUGCGUUCGGCGCCCGCCCCGGCCCGGCCUCGCUGCCUGCCGUUCUCCGCAGAGGAGGCGGCGAGGAGCGCGCGCCGACCGUCUACACGGUUUCUCUUUCUCCCCAGGGAGAGCGCGCGGCGGACGCGCCCCGGACGCGCGGCGGCACCCGGAGGCCGGGCCCAGCGGUUUUGAGAGGAUUCCUCAAGUUUGACCUCAAGCAAGAUUCACUACUAACUUUGAAGUAGAAUAAGGUUGUACAUUGUUCAUGUGGAUGCUAUUGGCUAAAUUUCUAUAGCAAUGGCACGAGAAUAUAGCACCUGUGAUCUGACCAAGUCACAGCCUGCUUUCCAUAGUCGUAUUUUGACUCCAGCAUACCCAUGCCUGCUGUGUCAUCCUGAUGCCCUGUGUGGCCACAUGCAUCAUAAUACCAACACCCUUUACAUCCCCUUCCAAAAAUGUGAAGAAUGGUAAGAGAAGUAAGCCAAGGACACCAUCCUGGAAUCACUAGCUUUGCACUGGAGCCCAACAAUGAUACUGAGGAGCCAGCAAAAAGAAAGAGGCAAGAGAAAAAUGAAGAACAUGGUUAUCAUGGAAGUGCAGAGAAGAGAGAGUUUCAGGAAGGAGGGAGGGAUCAAGAGUGUACAUGUCUCAAAGAGCCAGUAUGACAAGAACUGUUUUUACACCUGGAGCUUCCCUGGAGGGGAGGGACUGUUUCCUCAAAUAUCCUCGCACCCAGUGUGUACUCAGUGCUCAGAGAGAAUGCAGAAAAGCUGGGGAUGAUUUAGAGGAGAGGAGGAAGCACUUUUCCUAGAAGAUUGGCGUUAUCAGCAAAGGGCGAGGGUUACGAUGUGAUAAACCUUGAGUGAUGAAGGCUUCCAGCUAGUAGAAUUUGGGUGCGUCGUCUUGUUUUCUGAAUUCCGUGAACUUGCUGAACUUAAACAAUGAGAUUGGGAUUCUAGCUGCAUGGAUCUACCGUGGAGUCUGAAAUAGUACCUAGAGCUGUGGUAUGAAACUUGUAACAAGGACAUUUUUUGUAUAGUUUACUCCUUCAACAGAUGCAGUUGACAUGCUGUAAAUUAGUAUUGCUCUUCUAUUUAAUUCUGUUGCUUUUUAUCUUAUUUAUUAAUGCUCAGGCAGGUUUGUUGACAAUUACGAGAAUUGCAAAUAAGUGUCACCAUGUGUUUGCUAUUUCCAUUAAC